UUACCACUCUGGCCUUUUGGCUUAGAUCAAGUGUAGUAUCUGUUCUUUAUAGUAUAACCACUAUAACGCGGGCACCGCCCGCUACAUUGGUUUUCUUAUUUUUGCCGCCCUUGUCCGCCGAGCUCUGCUUGCAACUCGACGGCGCGAUGACUUUGCCGCUGCACUACUGGCUUAUGUCGUCGGGGGAUC
rfam:Heterobasidion irregulare TC 32-1 unplaced genomic scaffold scaffold_03, whole genome shotgun sequence.